GCGACCCCAGGAUGGGCGAGGCCACCCGC
rnacentral:rRNA from 10 species